rnacentral:rRNA from 1 species
AUUGAACGCUGGCGGCAGGCUUAACACAUGCAAGUCGAGCGGGGAGAUGUAGCUUGCUACAUAUCCUAGCGGCGGACGGGUGAGUAAUGCUUAGGAAUCUGCCUAUUAGUGGGGGACAACAUUCCGAAAGGAAUGCUGAUACCGCAUACGCCCUACGGGGGAAAGCAGGGGAUCUUCGGACCUUGCGCUAAUAGAUGAGCCUAAGUCGGAUUAGCUAGUUGGUGGGGUAAAGGCCUACCAAGGCGACGAUCUGUAGCGGGUCUGAGAGGAUGAUCCGCCACACUGGGACUGAGACACGGCCCAGACUCCUACGGGAGGCAGCAGUGGGGAAUAUUGGACAAUGGGCGCAAGCCUGAUCCAGCCAUGCCGCGUGUGUGAAGAAGGCCUUUUGGUUGUAAAGCACUUUAAGCGAGGAGGAGGCUCCUUUAGUUAAUACCUAAAGAGAGUGGACGUUACUCGCAGAAUAAGCACCGGCUAACUCUGUG